rnacentral:rRNA from 1 species
UACGGGGGGGGCAAGCGUUGUUCGGAAUUACUGGGCGUAAAGGGCGCGUAGGCGGCCUUCUAAGUCGAACGUGAAAUCCCCGGGCUCAACCCGGGAACUGCGUCCGAUACUGGAAGGCUUGAAUCCGGGAGAGGAGUGCGGAAUUCCAGGUGUAGCGGUGAAAUGCGUAGAUAUCUGGAGGAACACCGGUGGCGAAGGCGGCAUCCUGGACCGGCAUUGACGCUGAGGCGCGAAAGCCAGGGGAGCAAAGCGGG